UUGGUCAAUGGACGAAAGUCUGAACCAGCGACGCCGCGUGAGCGAAGAAGCUCUUCGGAGUGUAAACCUCAACGAUCGGGGACGAAGAGCGACCUGUUAAUACUCGGGGCGUUUGACGGUACCCCGACAGGAAGCUCCGGCUAACUCCGUGCCAGCAGCCGCGGUAAUACGUAGGGAGCGAGCGUUGUUCGGAAUUAUUGGGCGUAAAGGGCGCGUAGGCGGGCCUUUAAGUCAGAGGUGAAAUCUCCCGGCUCAACCGGGAGCGGGCCUUUGAAACUGUCGGUCUUGAGUGCGGAAGAGGUACGUGGAAUUCUCCGUGUAGCGGUGAAAUGCGUAGAUAUCUGGAGGAACACCGGUGGCGAAGGCGCCGUUCUGGUCUGUCACUGACGCUGAGGCGCGAAAGCGUGGGGAGCAAACAGGAUUAGAUACCCUGGUAGUCCACGCCCUAAACGAUGGGCACUAGGUGUGGGAGGUAUUGACCCCUUUCGUGCCGCAGCUAACGCAUUAAGUGCCCCGCCUGG
rnacentral:rRNA from 1 species